rnacentral:rRNA from 1 species
AACGAACGCUGGCGGCAGGCUUAACACAUGCAAGUCGAGCGCCCCGCAAGGGGAGCGGCAGACUGGUGAGGAACGCGUGGGAACGUACCCUUUGGUUUGGAACAACUUCGGGAAACUGGAGCUAAUACCGGAUAAGCCCUAAUGGGGGAAGAUUUAUCGCCGAAAGAUCGGCCCGCGUCUGAUUAUCUGGUUGGUGAGGUAACGGCUCACCAAGGCGACGAGCAGUAGCUGGGCUGAGAGGAUGAUCAGCUACACUGGGACUGAGACACGGACUAGACUGGUACGGGAGGGAGCAGUGGGGAGUAUUAGAGGAUGAGCGCAAGCCUGAUACCGCCAUGCCGCGUGAGUGGUGAAGGGCUUAGGGUUGUAAAGCUGUUUUGUACGGGAAGAUAAUGACUGUAACGGAAGAAUAAGCACCGGCUAACUUCGUG